rnacentral:rRNA from 1 species
CUCAGGAUGAACGCUGGCGGCGUGCUUAACACAUGCAAGUCGAACGAUGACCCCGUGCUUGCACGGGUGAUUAGUGGCGAACGGGUGAGUAACACGUGAGUAACCUGCCCCCGACUUUGGGAUAAGCCCGGGAAACUGGGUCUAAUACCGGAUAUGACUUCUUACCGCAUGGUGGGUUGUUGAAAGAUUUAUCGGUGGGGGAUGGACUCGCGGCCUAUCAGCUUGUUGGUGAGGUAAUGGCUCACCAAGGCGACGACGGGUAGCCGGCCUGAGAGGGUGACCGGCCACACUGGGACUGAGACACGGCCCAGACUCCUACGGGAGGCAGCAGUGGGGAAUAUUGCACGAUGGGCGAAAGCCUGAUGCAGCGACGCCGCGUGAGGGAUGACGGCCUUCGGGUUGUAAACCUCUUUCAGUAGGGAAGAAGCGAAAGUGACGGUACCUGCAGAANAAGCGCCGGCUAACUACGUGCCAGCAGCCGCGGUAAUACGUAGGGCGCAAGCGUUAUCCGGAUUUAUUGGGCGUAAAGAGCUCGUAGGCGGUUUGUCGCGUCUGCCGUGAAAGUCCGAGGCUCAACCUCGGAUCUGCGGUGGGUACGGGCAGACUAGAGUGAUGUAGGGGAGACUGGAAUUCCUGGUGUAGCGGUGAAAUGCGCAGAUAUCAGGAGGAACACCGAUGGCGAAGGCAGGUCUCUGGGCAUUUACUGACGCUGAGGAGCGAAAGCAUGGGGAGCGAACAGGAUUAGAUACCCUGGUAGUCCAUGCCGUAAACGUUGGGCACUAGGUGUGGGGGACAUUCCACGUUUUCCGCGCCGUAGCUAACGCAUUAAGUGCCCCGCCUGGGGAGUACGGCCGCAA